AUGCUUUGCCACAUAUUUCAUUUGUCAUUUUAUUAUGUGAGCAUGUUGGUUGCAUAUUUUACUCAUUCGAGGACAUCCACUUGUUGUCCCAUGUCUAAAGCCAGAGCCUCCACUCAAGUACCUUUGGAAUCUGAACCCAAAGAGGCACCUGCAAGAAGGAUUCCCACUUUCAAACCUAGGAAGGUUGCCACAGGGGAAACCAUGAAGUUUACCAUUGAGUCAGAAGAUGAAGCUGUUGGCCAAGACAAGAAGAAAAAGAGAGUCAGAACCACUACUGCCAAGGUUCUUGGCAAUCCCUCUAUGAGGAGAGACUUUGAGGAGGAAGAAGAAGAAGAAGAGGUUGCUGCACUAGCACCCAAAGCUCAGAAGCUUAUGGGUGAUGCUAUCAGAUCAGGGGUUGCUUCAUCAAAACCCAAAGAAGCACCCAAGGCUGCCUCCAAGCCCAAGACUGCACCUAAGAGGAAUACCAGGAACAUAUCUGUUGCUGAGAAGAACAAGGCCCCAGAGCCUGAAACUGUUGCUGAAGGGGAAGAUGAGGUAGAGCAUGUCUUGAGAAAAUUGAAGCCAAAAAAUCCAGAUCAUAAUGAUGCCCAUCCUGUAGCUGAGAACAUGAAGCUGAGAAAGGAUGCAGGACUCAGACAGUGCAGGUUGACUGAUCCUUAUGCAGUCAGGAGGAGAACUGCUAUAGAUUACAGGUUCCAUACAAAGGAACAACAGGAUUUCUAUGAGACAGUGCUGCUGGACAAGAAGCCAAUAGUGUGUGACAUGAGGUGGGUGGACUGGAAGUACAUCAAGGAGAAUGAAGAACACUAUCCUGGUGUGUAUGACAACUUCAGUGCUUGUGGAGUGGUAGACUUUGUUGGGCAGAAGCUCACAAAGUGGAAUGAUGAGCUAAUAAAGCAAUUCUACUCCACAGCACACUUCUAUCCAGAUGGCAGGAUAGUAUGGAUGUCUGAAGGUACUAGGUACCAAUCAACAAUUGAAGAAUGGGCUAAUCUGAUCAAUGCACCUAAGGAGAAAGAGGAUGACUUAGAUGUCUAUGCCAAGAAGAAGAUGGAUCACAACACUAUGGCCCAUAUGUACAGGGAGAUCCCAGAUGCUGCUGUUGAAACACACAAGUUUGGAUUAGUACAUUACCUUCUGUCAGGACUGCCAACCAUCAACUGGAUCCUCAGGCACACUCUCUUGCCCAAGUCAGGUGAUCGCAACAUGAUCAGAGGCCAUGUAAUAAAUCUUCUACACUUAUUUGAUGUGCCACAAAAGUUCAAGGUCAUGAGCCUUAUAGUUGAAACUAUCAAGAGGACAGCUGCUGACCGAAAGAGAAGUUGUGGGUAUGCCCCACAGAUCCAGGAGCUGAUUAACUCCAAGAUGUGCACUGGCACAUACUUGUUGGACAAGGAUCACAUGCCUAUCUAUCCAUACUUUGAGGACAACCAAGUGGUUAUGGAUGAAGAUGAACCAUCUUCUGUUCAAGCACAAGCAAAGAAGGAGAAGGCAAGGACAAAGAAGGCUACCAACAUGCCAACAAUGGAAGAGGCAUCUCAGUACUUUUUGAAGAGCAAACAGGAUCAGCUUGGCUACUUGAUUGCAUCCACUCUGAGGAUUGAGAAGGGGCUGGCCACCUUGACUCAAAACCAGGAGAGCCUGGAGAGGACCAUGGAGCAGAAGUUCUAUGACUUGGACGCGAAGGUUACUAAGAUCCAGUCUGUUGUUGAGCAACUUCAGGAUCAUAUGCAGGAGAGGAAGAGCAAGACAACCACUGAGGCAUUUGCCAGAGUGCCUAGAGCUCAGAGAUGA
rnacentral:rRNA from 1 species